rnacentral:misc_RNA from 1 species
GAUGAAUAACGCAGCGAAAUGCGAUAAGUAAUGUGAAUUGCAGAAUUCAGUGAAUCAUCGAAUCUUUGAACGCACAUUGCGCCCGCGAGUAUUCUCGCGGGCAUGCCUGUCCGAGCGUCAUUUCAACCCUCAGGGCCCGCCUGCUUGCAGGCGCGGCGCUGGUGUUGGGGAUCGGCUACCCUGCCGUCCCCCAAAUACAGUGGCGGUCUCGCUGCAGCCUCCCCUGCGUAGUAGCAACACUCGCAUGCGGAGCGCGGCGCGGCCACGCCGUAAAACCCCCGACUUUCUGAACGUUGACCUCGGAUCAGGUAGGAAUACCCGCUGAACUUAAGCAUAUCAAUAAGCGGAGGA